AUUUGCACAAAAAAAAAUUCACAAUGCUUUCUCUUUCAAUUGAAACUGACUUCAAGGUAAUUCUUAUGUCAUCAAAGACUUUGAACUAAAUUUAACAUCAUGCUUCAAAUUCCCUCACCAUAAAGAAAGUCUAAAUUUUCCAAUGUUUAAAAUGUUUUGAUUAGAGAACAAUUUGUGAAAUACACUCACAUUUAGAAAAAUGUUCAACGUAUGCAACUAUGAUACCAUAGGCUUGACUUUCAUGUAAAGUUUUGUGAGAACAUUUAAAAAUGAAAUCAUGUAGGGCUUUUUAUUGAUUUGUAGUGUAGGCUUAAGGAUGGGUAGGAUAUUCAUUUAGAUAGAAGUGACUUAAUCCCUUCUUGAGCAUUGAACUAAAUUUGUGUUUUCAACUUUUGUUACGCUUUUAGCAUUUGAUCCUCUGUGUUGUCCCUUCCUUUUGUACUUUUUGACUUCUUUUGAAAUUUUGCUUGUCUGAGUUUUUUCGCCCUUCUCAUCAUUUUUUAAAGUUUCUCUUGUUUGUUUAGAGUGUUCUUCUUCUUUUGUUGAAAUUUGGUUACUUGAACUUGUAGGGAAAUUUUAACUAUUUUUUAAAGUUGUUUCUGUAUUGCUGACUUUCAUGGACUAUGUAACCUUUAUCUUUGACAAAUUUAAACUUUGAAUUUUUUUUUAUAACUUGCACAUCUUCAGUGCGCUCAAGAAAGUCAGGCCAAAAGAGGGAUAGUUCAUAGAAGCACUCAAAAAGGAUAGAGGCUAAAAUGUGGUUGUCCAAAUAAAUGGUUUAAAGCUAAAAGUGGGGACAUGCUAAGGAUUAAUGUCAUUUGAUAGGCUUUGAAAGGCACAAACGGGACAAAGAAGACCUGCAAUCAUUUCUCAAAUAAAACAUUACUCAGGAUUUUGCCUCAACAGCAUUCAGGUCGAGUUCUAGAUCACAACACAAUACAAUUGAAUUUAAUUCAAAACUAACAACCCAAUGCACAUGAAACAGUGAAUCUAAUUUUGUUCUUAUCUUGAAUGCAUGCAAAAGAACAUUUUCAAAAGUUUCAAAAAUAUGAAUGAGACGUACCAAAAGAUUCUAUGAUUUACCACGAAGCCAGUCCUCUCCAUUGUAUCACUUAUUCUUUCAUAUGAACUUUAAUUCUGUUGGCACAAUCAAGUCAAAAAUAUAAAAUAAUGUAUAUUUUUAUGAAUAAGGAAUACCGAACCUCAAAGGACUGCCAACGUAUCUCAUUGAAAUGAGAAUCAGAUAUGCGUAGUUCAUGCAGUUAUGACGUAAAACAUAUGUUUUGAACAAUAAAUGAUAUUUUUGAAAGAAAAAUAAUAGAAAUGAAAAAUCAAUGAGUCACACUGACGGGCGGACCACUCAAACUUAAAAAAUAUCAAAC
rnacentral:lncRNA from 1 species